rnacentral:rRNA from 1 species
GGAUUCCCCUAGUAACUGCGAGUGAAGCGGGAAAAGCUCAAAUUUAAAAUCUGGCAGUCUCUGGCUGUCCGAGUUGUAAUCUAGAGAAGUAAUGCCCGUGCUGGACCGUGUAUAAGUCUCCUGGGAUGGGGCGUCAUAGAGGGUGAGAAUCCCGUCUUUGACACGGACUACCAGUGCAUUGUGGUAUGCUCUCAAAGAGUCGAGUUGUUUGGGAAUGCAGCUCAAAAUGGGUGGUAAAUUCCAUCUAAAGCUAAAUAUUGGCGAGAGACCGAUAGCGAACAAGUACCGUGAGGGAAAGAUGAAAAGAACUUUGGAAAGAGAGUUAAACAGUACGUGAAAUUGCUGAAAGGGAAACGCUUGAAGUCAGUCGCGUUGGCCGGGAAUCAGCCUUGCUUCUGCACGGUGUACUUUCUGGUUGACGGGUCAGCAUCAAUUUUGACCGCUGGAAAAAGGCCUGGGGAAUGUGGCAGCUUCGGCUGUGUUAUAGCCCCUAGUCGCAUACAGUGGUUGGGAUUGAGGAACUCAGCACGCCGCAAGGCCGGGUUUCGACCACGUUCGUGCUUAGGAUGCUGGCAUAAUGGCUUUAAGCGACCCGUCUUGAAACACGGACCAAGGAGUCUAACAUGCCUGCGAGUAUUUGGGUGGAAAACCCAAGUGCGUAAUGAAAGUGAAAGUUGAGAUCCCUGUCGCGGGGAGCAUCGACGCCCGGACCAGAACUUUUGGGACGGAUCCGCGGUGGAGCAUGUAUGUUGGGACCCGAAAGAUGGUGAACUAUGCCUGAAUAGGGYGAAGCCAGAGGAAACUCUGGUGGAGGCUCGUAGCGAUUCUGACGUGCAAAUCGAUCGUCAAAUUUGGGUAUAGGGGCGAAAGACUAAUCG